CCUUUGGAGUGUUACAGCAAACGAAAGUAGUAUAUCCUUUGGGAUUACAAAAUCGGACACAUUGAAAAAGGAA
rnacentral:sRNA from 12 species